GUGCCAGCAGCCGCGGUAAUACGUAGGGUGCAAGCGUUAAUCGGAAUUACUGGGCGUAAAGCGUGCGCAGGCGGUUUUGUAAGUCUGUCGUGAAAGCCCCGGGCUCAACCUGGGAAUUGCGAUGGAGACUGCAAGGCUUGAAUCUGGCAGAGGGGGGUAGAAUUCCACGUGUAGCAGUGAAAUGCGUAGAGAUGUGGAGGAACACCGAUGGCGAAGGCAGCCCCCUGGGUCAAGAUUGACGCUCAUGCACGAAAGCGUGGGGAGCAAACA
rnacentral:rRNA from 1 species